AGGCGAAUUAGUCUUUUGUAAUUGGAAGAAUACAUAUUAUCGUGCAGAAAUACAGAAAAUAAUUCCAGAAUCUGAAUACCUUUCAGUUCAUUUCUGGAAGUUUGCCAAAUCAUGGGACAUGCCGAUGAAUAAAAAUACUCUGAUAAGAUUUGAAUCGAAAGCAAACAAAAUAUAUGCCCAGAGAUACAAUGCGUAUCAACACAGGAAGAUUAAAGAAAAUAAUAGAAUAAAAGAAGAGAUACUU